rnacentral:rRNA from 1 species
UACGUAGGGGGCAAGCGUUGUCCGGAAUCAUUGGGCGUAAAGCGCGUGUAGGCGGCCCGGUAAGUCCGCUGUGAAAGUCGGGGGCUCAACCCUCGAAUGCCGGUGGAUACUGUCGGGCUAGAGUGCGGGAGAGGCGAGUGGAAUUCCUGGUGUAGCGGUGAAAUGCGCAGAUAUCAGGAGGAGCACCAAUGGCGAAGGCAGCUCGCUGGAACGGUACUGACGCUGAGGCGCGAAAGCGUGGGGAGCAAACAGG